rnacentral:rRNA from 1 species
UACGUAGGGUGCGAGCGUUGUCCGGAAUUACUGGGCAUAAAGAGCUCGUAGGGGGUUUGUCGCGUUGUCCGUGAAAACUCACAGCUUAACUGUGGGCGUGCGGGCGAUACGGGCAGACUGGAGUACUGCAGGGGAGACUGGAAUUCCUGGUGUAGCGGUGGAAUGCGCAGAUAUCAGGAGGAACACCGGUGGCGAAGGCGGGUCUCUGGGCCGAUACUGACGCUGAGGAGCGAAAGCGUGGGGAGCGAACAGG